rnacentral:misc_RNA from 1 species
UCUCCCAAAAUUACAGCAUUUUGAAUCUGUAAAUUUACCACAACUGAAGACCAUUUGUGGCGGAAAAUUGGUUUGCAACUCCGUCAAAGAAAUUUCGGUAGUCUAUUGUCCGAAGCUAAAGCAGAUGUCGCUCUCUCUGAUCUCGCUGGUCAAUGGCCAACCGUUUCCUAUCCCUUCUCUUCACAAAAUCACGUUAUACUCAAGGGAAUUGUGGGAGUCCAUUGAGUU